rnacentral:lncRNA from 1 species
CUGGCCUCAAGGGCUGAUAUGUCUAAAUGAGCAAUACAAUAAAGACACACAAUUCAUGUAUGGUUAUAUAUUUAUCCAUAAAAUUAAUCUUCCUGGUUUUCAUUUCAGCAAAACCACUAAUUAUGUUGUUAUAAUCAAUAUUUUCACAUCAUUUGAGUCCUAUUAAAAGUAAUGCACACUAGAUGACCUUUCUCGAAUCUUUGGGUUUUUUUAAAUUUUCAAUGUGGAGAAAUUUUGCUCUGCAGAGGCAGCAGCAAUUGAAAUCGUCAAUAAAAUUCUUAAAGCAAUACUUUGAUUUGGAAAUGGAUCAUGAGUUUUAUAUACCAACAUUGUAAUUGGGUUGCAUCUGAUAUAUUCAUGAUCACAGACACUGUUACAAAUGUUUUAAUUUCAUCCUAUAAAUCACCAUCAUUUAUUUCAUGAUUUUCAAAAUCUCUUAAAACAAUAUUUAAAAAUAUACAGAUCCAUAUAGUGUUGUAAAGAGUUGAUAUCAUGCUUCACACAUAUUAUUGGUGCACCUACAUACAUCUGCAUUUAAGUGUACCGUGAACUGUUGUGGAUAUUGUGCUAAUUCACGAAUAAUUCCAGAACCAUCCGUUGGAACAUGAAGAGAAACCAGAGACUGUUGCAGGCGGGCCACUUGGAGAGGAGGAUGGCACAGCUACGUCAUCUUCCCUCUCUCCCAGGAGCUUCUACCACCAGCAUCUUCCUCGCUCUCCGAGGCAGCGUCAGAUCUGAGGUCAGCAGUGGCACACUCUACAAACCUUUGCAGCUUUGGGCGUGGUUACCUUCUGCUUGGAGAACACGGGGCAAAAGAUGUAGGGGAUACCUUGGGGCCUGGAGGGUGUCAGUCACCUGCAGAUGUUCAGCAUUGGGGGUUACACUGAGCCCGUGCCAUGUGACAGAGGGCCUUCUAAAGUGAUGGGCCCAGGACCCCGCCCACCCAGGGUGAUGGCCAGUACUGCACUUCUUGCUAAAUAACCAUAUAAAUAUUACUGUAGUGGAUUGAAUAGUGGUCCCCGAACAGAUAUACCCACAUCCUAGUCCCUAGAACCCGUGAAUGUGACCUUAUUUUUGCAGAUGUGUUAAAUUAGGGGUCUCGAGAUAAGAUCAUUCUGGAUUAUCUAGGUAGGCCCUAAAUACAAUAAUGUGUCCUUCUAAGAGACAAAUAGAAGAGAGACAGAGGGAGAAGGGGAGAAGGCUGCAUGAACUUGGAGGCAGAGACUGGAGCGAUGCAUGCAGCCCCAAGCCAAGGAAUGCCCACAGCCGCUGGAAGCUGCUAGAGGUGGGGAAGGAUACUCCCCAGAGCCCUCAGGGGAGCACCGAGCUGCCAACACCUUGCUUUCAGACUCCUGGUCCCUAGAGCUGCAAGAGAAUAAAUUUCUGUUGUGUUAAGUUACCAAAUUUGCGGUAAUUCGUCAUGGCAGCCCUAGGAGAUGAGGGCUAAGUACAAUUUCCCACAAUGUCCAGCAUUUGUCAGGGCUGAUUGUGUACCAGGCACUCUGCUGAGCCCUCUCUACAAGCAUCAUCUCACUUAAGCCUCACAAGGCACUGUUCUCACCCUCACUUUACAGAGGAGCGGAGAGAGGUUCUAAAAGGCAGGAAGCUGGCCCGAGGCCACGUGGCCAGGAAGCUGGGAUCUGAACCCAGGUCCGUCUGCUGCAAAGAUCUUAGAGCACCCGGAAGCCUCCUCGCCUGGUGACACAGCCGGCUGUAAGAUGGAUUUACCCUGUGCUUGGUGGCUUCUAGCUGAAUGUCACCUCCUCUUUGUCCCCCUACUUAAAAGAGGCCCACAUCUUUUAGCACUCUCUGCUCUAACCCUCGGCAAUUUACCACCACCUCAGAAGUGAGAUAUAAAUUACAACAGACCAUUCUUCUAACUCAACCGAUCAUGGGAACACUGUUUGCUGUUACAAAGAAACAUUCUAGGCAUACACAAUCACGCCUAGUUCUUUGCAUCUAUUUAUCCUCGGGGUCAUUCGGGUUUAUUCGCACACAUUGCCAAGAUGAAUCAGAAAUCUGGAGAAACCAUUUGUUCUUGGAGAAGGACAGCAGUCAGGAGGGUUUUUUGUUAGUUUCUUUUUGUUGAUUUUGAAUUUGUAUGAAGACUAUGUCCCGGUCCCAGGAGAAAACAGACAGAAAAGUUUGUUUUCUUAAGACUUAAAAUAUAUUCUCUGAGCUCACUAAGCCAUCAGAACAUGCCGCUGGGCUCUGACGAUGGCGUGAUUUAGGGAGUAAGCAUUUCUUUCCGCUCUAUGUUUGCCCUGUCUUUUGGGGACUAGAAGAGAUUGUUGUCCAUCUGCUGACAAGCCCCAAAACUGUGUGUGUGUGUGUGUGUGAGUGUGUGAGUGUGAGUGUGUGUGUGGUGUGGCUGGGGGAAGGGGGUCUGGAUGAGGUGGUUACUUUUAUGUUGUUACCCUUCAUUUAUUUUCUUUCAAACAAAAGCUACCCCAUUUCACAGGUGGAAACACUGAGUCCUGGUGGAUGGAAACGAUGUUCUCCAAGGUAACUCAACCAGACAGACUUAACUACAAAUGCCAUGCUGUCCUCUCAAGAAACCAUUCCAUUUAGUGAAAACGAGACCGGUUAUGCAAUGAGUUUGAGGCUAAUUUUAAAGCAAGUCAUGUGUCCUUCCCGUUGCUCUGACCCAAAUACGAGACAGGGACUCAAAGUUGCACACAAAGAAUACCCAAAACAAUCAGGACACUCGACAUGAGCCAUCUGGUUGAUGACGGGAAUGCAAGCGUCAUUUUUCAGCCACCGCAAGGCUCCGGCACUGGGGACUCGUUCAGCGUUCCAGUUAGGACACCGCCCGGAGACUGUGCCAGGGACCGGCCCCAGGUCUGCAGCGCGCCGUCACUGGGCCCGGGCCCUAGGGCUUCCCUCUUCUCUCACGUCUCUCAACCAAAACCCGCUGGGAAAGAAGACGAGAAAUUCAUCCGCAUCAAGGAGAACGGACAAAUUUAUCUUCCUGGGAGCGUCCCGGAAAAAUAAUGGGUCUCUGGGCAGUUUCAGAUACCAGAGAGAGAGCCAGGAAGAAGAUAUGUCAGAUCUAUGCAUGGAACCACGGAACUUUCUGUCUGGCUAGCAGGGGAGGCUAACAAACAGAACUUCAUGUGGAUGUUUUGAAACAAGAAAGCAGGGUAAGGAGAUAAGGGAGCGAUGGAGCCCGAAGGCAGCUGAGGGGCCCGCAGUGUCUGGCUGAGCUGGUGAGGAAGGGCAUCCUUUGUAGGGUUGCCAGGUCUAGCAAAGAAGAACACGGGGCACCUAGUCGCAUUUGAGUUUCAGAUAAACAGUGAAUACUCUCUCAGGAUAAGUGUGCCCCGUGCAAUAUUUGGGACAUACAUGUAACUAAAAAUUGCCAUUUGUCUGAAAUUCAAAUGUAACUGGGUGUCCUGCAUUUUAUCUUGCACCUCUACUGCCCUGGGGCCCCCAGGAACGAGGUGGGGAGAGAAACAGUCAGCCCAAAGAUUGCCAGGCAGAAAUGGGCUUGGCUCUUGUUCCAGUGUGGCUGGAAUAGAGGGAGGCAGGGAGACGAUGGUAGAGAUGACCCCACAGAGGCAGGCCCGCUAGGAAGAGUUUGCGUUUUAUCCCGAUCAGUAGAAUUUUAGGGAACACCCUCACACUGCAAUUCUUCAUUUCCAUGAAUAUUCCAGUUUAGUAUUGUGUUUCCCGAAGCAGGUGCCACUGACCUUGCUUUAAGGCCAGACUUUAGAAUGGGAGACUAGGUGUCCCUGCCCUGGGUGUCUCACCUAAAUUUACCUGACCUCCCCUCUCUCUUUUCACCCCAUUCACUAUUGUCUGCAGUUUUCCUAGUGCUAGACAGUCAUCGUACCAUAAGAAAUGAACUUAAAAUGCUACUGGGAGAAGAGAUUUAGGGACUCAAAUUCUCACUAGUGUGUAAAUGACUAUUAGAAAGUGUUUUGAAAGUGAGGAAGGGAAGAGCGUAUAGCACAGGUCAAGGGAAGGUGGGAAAAGAAUAAAAAAGGGAAAUUUGAGGGCGCUAAUGCCAAGCUUGACCAAUUUGCCUUGCUGUGACCCUGAAGCUGAGCGUUGGCUGAGCAGAACUGCAAACCAGUUCUCCCCACUCUCGGUGUGGAGAUGACCAAGAGUCUGUCGUGGAAGAGAGAUUCAGAGCCAGGCCGGCUGCGAACCGAUACUGCCAGAUGGCAGAGCAGUCAAAAUAUUUAGCUGUGAAGCCCACACUGUGUUCGGGAAGAGGCUGAACUCACCUUCCUGCCGCAGACCCUGGUGGGCUCCCGUCUGUGGGUGCUGCCUGCCUCCUCAGCCGGCCGCUUCGGUGACUCACUGAGUGGCUCACUGAGUGACUCACUGAGUGACUCAGGCUGGGCUCUGGUGGUUCAUCCCUGGCAGGGAUUUAGCCAGCUGAACCAGCUUCCUCUCCCGCCUUCUAGUAAAAGAUAUCCUGUGUCGAAAACAGAGCCUUGACUGUACUUCUGUGAGAACGGCCCUACCUUGCUUCCGGGGAAUGUGGGGUUUUCUGGACCCAAUAACACACAGAAAAGCAAUAUUGCUCUCCAUGUUAUAGAGGGGAAACAUUGUGAGAAGACGGGCUUGCCCAGGUUCCGAGUGCUGGCGGGUGCACUUGAACGCCCGAGUCUUUUCUAUCACACUGAGGGUGGUGAGUCCAUUUGAAGAUUCCUUAAUGACGUGUGCAAGAUUGCAUAACUACUUGCUGCCCUCUGAAACUGAAACGUUCUUUUUCUAUAAAAUCAUGGUUUAGAAACCAAGAGCAGAAUCUACAAGGGAGAAGUUGUUUCCCCCCAUGUUUUGAAAAACAUUCAUUUCAGAUAAUGAAUCCCUGGGUGAUGGACUGGUUGAUUCUUUCAAAAGAAUUUAAUGACCCCUCCAUUAUACAAAUAAGAAGCGUUUAUUGCAGAAACUUUGGAAAAGUUAGAAAAAAACAAAGGGAAAAAUAAAAAUCACCCGUCAUUCUCCUAGUUAGAUAUAAUUGUUGUUAUUUUGAUGUGUGGCCAGCCCUGGUGGUCUGGGUUAAGAUGUGGCGCUCUCACUGCACGGCCCAGGUUUGUCUCCCAUCAGGGACCACACCACCCAUCAGUCGUUGUCACACUGCGGCAGCUGUGUGUUGCUGAAAGCUCUGCCACCGGGAUUUCAAAUACCAGCAGGGUCACCCAUGGUGGACAGGCUUCAGUAGAGCUUCCAGACUCCGACAGACUAGGAAGAAGGAGCUGGCCAGGCACUUCCAAAAAUUUUGACCAUGAAAACCCUGUGAAUAGCAGCAGAGCAUUGUCUGAUGCAGUGCCGGAAGGUGAGAGGAUGGCGCAGAAACACCCGGCAGGGUUCCGCUCUGCUGUACGCAGGGCCGCUAGGAGUCGGAAUCCAUUCCACGGCACAAACGACAAAAAUUUUAAUAUGUAUCCUUCCUUUUUUCAUACACAUGUGACCAUAUUUUAACAAAUUGGAAAAAAUGUGCUAUAAACUGAUGAAUGAUACUUCCAUGAGCGUUUUCUCACAUCAGUUUCUUUCCAAGCGUCUUUGAUCCAUAGCACACACUCUAUCCUACGGAUGGUGUACUUCAUUUACUCCACCUAUUGAGACUUUUAGCCUGUUACCAUUUUUUUUAUUAUAAACACCACCACAACAGGCUUGCUUGGUCUUAUAAAUAUUUAGUGAUGUUUCCACCCGGCCAUUUGUAUGGGCUUUGGUUUGAGAAAAACUGAAAAUGGAAGAACAGAGAAGGUUAAUAGACAUUAGUUUGAUUUUUGUCUGGCGGAGAAGGGAGAGAAGGAAGGGCAGCCAUCUCAAGUGUCCCCUCUGUAAAGGUCGUUUCCGUCCCCCGGGCUCUUAAUUCUGUUUGUCUGACUUGCCUCCUGUGCGCUUUACCAUCUCCGUCUCCCCACAGCUCCUCACCUUCUCGCCACCCUGUCACAAUCUCUGUUUGCCCUCAUCACACUCUGGGGGCUCUCCUCAGGGCCUCCCUGGUCUUGCCCGCUGUUGAUGAAGGUUUUCUGUGUCUCGACUCAGUGCCUGAGAAGUUAUUUCUAAGAGCAGCAAGUGAAGGAUCCCGGCACAGUGUAUGAAGUCAUGCCCAUAAAGCUCUUCGGCAAAUCACUGCAUUGUUCCACCCGUUGGGUACAGCCCGCAAUGCGGCUGCAACUGACCGGGCCCAAAGACAAGCAACAGUGGUGUGACCUCUGGACUUGUCUAAUUUCUCCACUGGACUAAGCAACUGCCCCUCCAUUCCCUUCCCAUCAGGCACUAUCAGUGUGUCAGCUCUAAUAACAACUAGAAAAAUGGGGACAAUCGUUAUUCCCAAGCUACAAUUUGAGAAACAUCUAAGAGAGUCAUAAAAUCGAAUAAGGCUCAGCAGAGUGCCUUUAGGAAAAAAAAAAAACCAUCUCAUUUGUUGCAGGUUCUUAAAAUAGUUCCCAAUGCUGUCCUCCACCUUCACAAUUAUUUUUGUCUUCAGUUCUAAAUCUGAAUGGCACAGAGCAGCAGAAUUUAUACAUUUAAGUUCAUAAGAGAACAGACAGCUCAUUAAUUCUUAACGUUGGUGGGAUUUGACUGUUUGCCAUCGUAUGCUCCAUUCCGAAAUAUGUCUGGGUCUGCUUUUCUGAGAUGAUUAAAGUGUCUUAUUGAUAACCUUGCGGCUGUUAAGAACACGGUGCCCUUCACGUAUGAGACAAGGUUACACGCCCCUCCCACCCAAGGGAGGGUGUGGGCAACAUCAACACGAAUCAUCUCACGUUUAUCCAUUCACAACUUCAUUUAGUCAAAUAUUUGAGAUUUUCCCAUGUGCCAAGCAAGAGAAAAAGCCCUUGUCUUCCAAGGGGGAGACAAAUAAGCAAAUUUGUAACAUAAUGAAAAUGUUACAAAAAAAAUAAAGCCAAGUAAGAGAAUGGAGUGUGUGGGGGGAUGGGGGUGGUACUUUAGAUCUGGUAGUUAGGGAAGGCCUCUUUGGGGAGGUGGCAUUUAAGUGCAGGAACGAGGCAUGGAAAUAACUAUCAGGAGGAGCAAGGCCAAAGCCCUCGAGAUGGGAAAGGCUCCACGAGAGAAGGGGAGCAGCGAAGAGGUGAGGGUAGCUGAACGCAGCGAGGCAGGGAGAGGGAGAGCUGAGGGGGCCGGGAGCCAGCUCAACGAGAGCCUGUCAGCCACGGACCUUGGUCUGCUCCACCAUGCUCUCUCCCAAGUGCCAAUUCACUGCAGACUCUCACGGUCCCUGAAUCCAGCGGUGACCACCUUGGGUCCCGGCAAGCUGGAAGCCCUUAGGGAUUCCUGGGAAAGCUCUGGGUCCUGUAAAGUGGUCACUGCGGCUGCCAGGCCCACCCUUUUGGUGGUUUUACAAUUCAGAUGAGCUGCUCCUACAGCCUAGGUCUGCUGCUAUACCACCACCUCACUUAACCAUCGACUGCUGUGUGGGGAUCACAGUUCCUGAGUCCUCCUGUAGACCAUGUGAUCUGUAUGUAUUUCCCCCCAUCCUAGAGAAGGAGGCUGAGUUUCAGGAGGUUAGGGACAAGGUCACAUUGUGCCUUAGUCAGUUCAGGUUGCUAUAACAAAGUACCACAGACCAGGUGGCUUAUAAAAUCUGUUUCUUGGUCGCUCUGGAGGCUGGAAGUCUGAGAUCACGGUGCCAGCACAGGUGUCGGUGGGACCCGCUUCGGGUUGCAGACUGCCAGCUUCUCACUGAAUCCUCAUAUGGAGGAGAACAGAAAGAAGUGGCAAGCUCUCUUGUGACUCUUCUAAGGGCACUAAUCCCACUCGUGAGGGUUCCACCCUCACGACCUCAUCUAAUCCUAAUUACCUCCCAAAGCCCGUCUCCUAAUACCAUCACGUUGAGGGGUAGGGUUUCAACACAGGAAUUUGGGGGGACACAAACAUUCAGUCCAUGACACUUGGUUAUUGAGUGAGGGUGGGAUUUAAAUGCAGAUCUAAUUGACUGGAAAGUCUGCUUUUCUUACAUCACGUUGCCUAAUCCUUCCUGAGCACUUCUGUUCAUUGAUCAAAAUAUUUAGUGAACAUCUGCCGUGUGUUUGGUGCUGUGCUGAGCAUCCCCGAGGGACGGAGACACAAAUAAGAGACAGUUCCUGCCCUCAAGCAUCUAGAAUCAAGUGAGCCGUCUAGUCUAUAAUACAUCCCCAGCAUGGAGUGGGAUUAUAACACAGCUCCACCACCACACACACACACACACUCACACUCACACACACACACCCCGUUUUGGACUUUCUCACACAGACAUUUGUCUUAUUCUUCUCAUUAAAGAAACUUGCCAGCUGCCAGGCAGGAUGGGCCACUGCCAAGCGUGAAAAGCAUGCGUUGACCCAUCUGGCCUUGGUUGACAUUGGUACUAUUGUUCACAGUUGGAUUUCACUUAAAUUUGGAUCUUAAUUGUCACUUUAAAAAAUCUUCAAAAAGAUCACCCUAUGUUGCAGGGCUAAAAUGGUAAGACGUCACUGUAGAAGCCUGGCCGUCACACGUCGGCGAUGCAGCCGAAGGGCAGCAGGAACUGCCACGUCUCUGAGCUCUCCCAGCAGUGUCAGAGCCAAGCCCAGGACUCACUCAGGCAUUUGAAGGACGAGCAUUCAGGUGGAGAACACACAGCUCUAUCAGAAGCUUCCAGACGACUUUCUAGAGAAGGUGUGAUACUUCCAGUGGUAUCUUAUUCAGCUCGGGAAUAUAUGAACUACAAGUUUAACCACAUCGGUGAAAUGUCUCAAAAUGAUCUCCAUCACAACAGUGCCUAAGAGAUUAUUCUCAGCGUCAGUACCCUGGUCGUUUCCUUUGCUAUAGUUCCCAUAAUUUGAAAUUACUUUAUUUGCUUGUCUUUGUUUCGCGAUGAGGUUAUCUUUUCAUUGUUGUUUCUCCAGCACAUGGCAAAAUGCCUCAAGCAGAGUCGGGUUGCGGGAAGCAGAAGCUUCUGAGAUGCUGUAUACCCACCGUGGCCAGGACGAUUUACAACUCUUUCUUUAGUGUCUGGGAGAAGCUUGGUCUCAAAAGUUUUAUUGUGACGCUGAAAAAAAUAAGUGCUAUGUUGUUGUCUAAAUAAAUAUACGCUACUGUGAGUUUUUUAGAACACAGAGUUAUGAAGACGUGAUUUUUUUUUUCUGAAAAAAAUUUUAUUAGCUUUACAGAUACUAUUUGGUGUUAAUUUUUAUGACUUGGCAGUUUCUCUUACUCAGUGGCAUCACAGAAUGAAGGAAACAGUAUAACAAGAGUAAAAGACCUUUAAAUAUUUUAAAGCUUUAAAUCAGAGAUUGUAAUAUUUGGGAAUCUCUUCAAACGACUCUCCCAACAUCUCUAACCCAUUAACAAAAAACUCUCAUUAGAUAAUGUGUACUUUCCAAAUAAUUUGAAAUCACCUUGAUAGGGCUUGUAGGCAAAUCAUCACUGUGGCUGGAAAGGAAGAUGCGAGCAAAUGUGCUGUAAUUGUACUGAAAGGAGCUGGUCCGAGGGGGUCCUCUCUGGGCGGCUCCCUGCAUCGUGAGCUCUGUGGGUGGCAUCGGCUUUGGAAUAGGAGAGCCUUUUUGAACGGUGAUGUCACGCUUACCUUGGGCAGGUGAUGUGUCCUCUCUGGGUUUCAGCUUCCUCGUCUGUGAAGUGGGGAAGAGAACUGCCAAUCCCCAGACACGAGGAGGAACCCGCAGGUCUCACACUCAGUGGCGCCCGCCGUACACGGCCCUUGUCUUGGUCCACUCGGGCUGCUGGAACAGAACACCGUCCACUGGGUGGCUUCUGAACAACACACAUUAAUUGCUUACAGUUCUGGAGGCUGGCAAGCCCAAGAUCAAGGCCUGGCAGAUUGAGUGUCUGGUGAGAGCCCCCUUCCUCACAGAGGGUCAUCUUCUCACUCUGACCUCACGUGGCAGAAGGGAGCAGCUAGCUCUCUGGGGUCUCCUUUAUAAGGGCACAAAUCCCAAACACGAGGGCUCUGCUCUCAUGACCUAAUCACCUCCCAAGGGCCCCACCU